rnacentral:misc_RNA from 1 species
CUCAGAUCAAUGCUAUCACACAACUUCUUAAUCUUAAAAUUUCAUUGAAUCCUAACGCCAAUAGUUUGAACCCAUGAUGUCUGGAUAUCGAAGAGGGCUCAAAGUCCAUGUAGGGGCCUCGACUCGAGUAAGUUUUGAUACUAAAUGAAAAGAUUUCACUUCAUUAGCGAACCAUGUCUCAUAAAAUCUUGGAUACCAAGACAACAACUAUUUGUGAACUUAGAUGAAGCAAUAUUUGUGAAGUAAUCAUAUCAAAAACAGCCCUACCCACUACUAAUUUCACUUCCUAGGCAUAAGAAUAAAGAGCAACUUUACAAGGCAGAAGUCGGCAGACAAUCCAACAAUAAUGUCAAUGCUGAAGUGAAUGUCACACCUGUGCUAAACCUAAUGAAAUUACAAAACCAUACAAAAUAGUUUGUCCAUUCUGAUAUGAGAGAACUGGAACUAAAUUAAAUUAUCAUUUUCCUCUGAGACACCUGGAGACAAAUGAUACAACAGCCUGAACGGCAAGAUCUUCAGCUUCAUCUUGGCUUAACCCCUUCGUUUGAAGAUGCUUUUUAGCAAUUUUGAAAGAAUGAUCACCACCAUCAAUCACAUGCAACUCAUUGAUCGAUUUCAUCUUCUUGCAAACAGCCUCCAACUUGUCAAGAGGACAAAGCCCAUCUUUGCUACCCUGCACAAACAAUAUAGGUACUUCAAGUUGCAACAAUGUCUCAUCCCUCACAGCUCCAUUCAUGGCCUUAAGUGGGUAUCCCAAGCAAAUUACUGCUGAUGCUGCAAUGUCAACCUCAGCAGCUACCAUGCAGCUAACUCUAGAGCCCAUGGAUUUCCCAACCAAAAUCAGUGGAUGUUCAGGGUACUUAGCAGCAGCCUUUUUCACAAUAUCUUUGUGAAAAUCCACCAAUUUCUCUGCUUUAGGGGGAGCCCUCUUUUUUCCUCCAGAAAUAUAAGGAUAGUCAAAUGUGACGACUUCAAUAGCCUGCAAAGCAUUUUUCAACAUGUCCUUCCAUCUAAUCAUCCAAUCGGAAGAAGAAGGGGCACCGGCGCCGUGAGCAAAGACAACCACCGGCGGCUGCGAUGAUGACUCUUCAUCUUUAUCUUCGCCGUGAUUCUUUCGCCUUCGCUUUGACGGAGGUGAACAAGCUGCCAUUUUGUAUACCAGUAACUCGCAAACCACCUCAAAAUUGAACCUCCAAAAGAAAAAUAAUCUGCUUUUGAAACCCCAAA